ACACUAAUAAAAACUUAAUUCAUUAAAAUCCGACAGCGUUAAUCACCUCAGACAGAAUAAGCAAACAAACCCCUCAAAAAAAACCUAAAAAAAGAAUAAGCAAACAAACACUACUCUGUAGAAAGCAAAUAACAGAUCUAUGAACACUCCAGCAAAUAACAUGCGUAACUUUGCCAAUUCAGAUCAACAGAACACUGCAGCGCAACAACCACAUUAAGACUACCUCAAAAGAUGAUCAACCUCACACCGCAAGCACACAAGCGAGGCGUCCGAUUUUUGCUCCUGAUGGUACCAUGGGAAAUUUGGAAGGAGAGGAACAACUGUGUGUUCAGGACGAAGACACCGUAGCGAAGAUAUCAUCCGUGCUGUCCGCACAAACAUUGAGCAAUGGAGACUAGCUGGAGCAACCUGUUUAGAGCCCCCGUUUGGGGACCCGAUCAUGAGAUGGUGGCCUUGCACCCUUUAGUCUUUCCUGUUCUUCCUUCUCUAUGUAACACCACCAUUGAUCACUUGAUCAUCAUGUUUCCCACUGCUUUCUUCUAAAUCAAUGAAGCCGGAGGACCCGGAUAUUUCAAAAAAAAAACAUUAAGACUACCUCAGGUAACUUAAUAUAAGACGUUUCUUGACACCAUGACUGUGUUAAAAAAAGUCUUACAUUUUGAUAGAGGGCUACGACCAAAAAGUUAUAUACAACUGUACACGCAUCACAAAAUAAAGUAGUCACUUGUAUAUGACCACACUGAGAAGUCAUCAUUCCAUUGUCAUCGAGGAGUUGGCAAUUGUAUCAUAGAUUGUUCGUGUCAACAGCGUCAGGUCUAGCUGAAACAUUUUCCCCUUGUAAUGGUUCUAAUCCCAGUGACUAUCUCCAAGAUCUUUUUAACCUUUCUGGUUCAACAAGCCCAAUGGCCGAUUAUGAUUAUCUACCUCUUUUUUCCAUAUAUCUCACAAAAAGAAAAACAUUUGUGGAAUGUUCAUCCCCAAAUUGCCCUUUACAUCUCUUCCACAGUAAAAGAACUACUCCCUCUAUAAAGAGAUAUAAGAAUGUUUAGAUCACUAUAGAAGUGAUCUAAACGCUCUUAUAUUUCUUUACGGAGGGAGUAGCAUAUAAGAAUAAAGUGACAAACUCAUGAAAGUACCGCUACCAUGCAUUUGUACAUGUCAACAUACACACAAACAUCAAAUUCGCUGGAUUUGGUUGAGCUUUUGGCUUAAAAGACCCUAAGGCCCAAUCAAACACAACCUAAGCUGUUCCUAAGCUUUGGGUUUGGAACGGCUUCUGGUUUAUCUGGACCAUAAGCUGAGGUAGAAGCCAUCUCAAACCAAGUCAUAAGGUGCUCUGAGCCAUGUUUGGAUAUGCCCUAUUUACUAGAUAUGCUACUACAGUUGUAGCUUAUUUAGUUCUAUGACAUGUCUCACUGGAAAUCCCAAUCGAACUGGACCAUCUUGUGAACAAAAUGGCAGUUAUUAUACACAAAAGAAGAAUCUCCGGAAUGUGAGAAUAAGAGCGGCGAAGCGUGCAAGACCACCUUCAACUAUUAUAGUGAUGAG
rnacentral:lncRNA from 1 species